rnacentral:miRNA from 1 species
CAGGUGGUUAGUGCAAUGGAA